rnacentral:tRNA from 1 species
GCAGUGGUGGAUCAGUGGUAGAAUUCUUGCCUUCCAUGCGGGACGCCUGGGUUUGAUUCCUGGUCAGUGCA